UCCUCUUUACAGAGGCAGUUUGUUUCGAGUUCCCGGCUUUCCGGUAUAUGUCAAACCCAGGUAAGGUUCUUCGCGUUGCAUCGAAUUAAUCAGCAUGCUCCGCCGCUUGUGCGGGCCCCCGUCAAUUCCUUUGAGUUUUAGCCUUGCGGCCGUACUCCCCAGGCGGGGCGCUUAAUGCGUUAGCUGCGGCACGGAGACCGUGGAAGGUCCCCACACCUAGCGCCCAACGUUUACGGCAUGGACUAC
rnacentral:misc_RNA from 1 species